rnacentral:lncRNA from 1 species
AAGCAGGCCCAUAGCAGAAGAGCCUGAUGUGGGGCUCGAUCCCAGAUCGCCGGGAUCACGCCCGGAGCCGAAGGCAGACGCUUAACCGCUGUGCCACCCAGGCGCCCCGAGUCUUUAAAUUAUUAUCAGUUGUUGCCUAAUAUUCCUGUAAGAUCAGCCAUCAUCAUUCACUCCACUGUUAAGGUCUUCCUAAUCAUUUCCUGCUUUUAGUGUUGGGGAACAAUGCUUCAUUGAAGGUCCUUUUAAAUGAACUGCCCCUGUGUCUUAGGUUUCCAGUAAUAGUAUUUUUUUUUUUAGUGUUCUGGAACCCUGGGAGCCACAGGUGAAAGCAAUGUGGUUAGGGAUGUGGUGGGCCCCACAGCCGUCAGUGGCUGAGUUGAGUCGGGAACCUGGAUUCCCAAAUGGGGCUUGAGUGUCCUCCCAGGCCCCUCUGCCCUGGCCUGAGGGAGUCUCUGCCCUCCAGGGGAUGGUGUUUGCUGUCUUUCCCAGGUCUCUGCAGGGUGGUGAGAUGUACCAGGAGGGGCCUGGCCACAGUCCUGCCACUCUCCCCCACAUCUGCCCAGGCCCUGGCCUCUGUCCUCUGACUGCCGGCGGUGACAUGCUGGACCCUUCUAUGGCUGCCCCUGAGUCGUGGCUGAUGUCCCUUGCACUGGCAUCCUCCAAGGAAGUUUCCUUCCAGACUGGGCAGCUGGUCCGUGGCCACGGGCUGGACCUCAUGAUGCACCCUGCAGAUGCCGCUGUGGCUGUGUCCAUCACUGCCCUCGGUGAGCCCAGCUCCACAGAGACCUACGUUUGCCUGUCCAUAUUUCCAACAAGGCUGGAGUGGGGCGGUCCCUGGCCAACUUCACACGGGGACAAGGGGAGCUGGUCUUCACACCAGGUCCAGCACAUGUGA